ACGACUCUCGGCAACGGAUAUCUUGGCUCUCGCAUCGAUGAAGAACGUAGCGAAAUGCGAUACUUGGUGUGAAUUGCAGAAUCCCGUGAACCAUCGAGUCUUUGAACGCAAGUUGCGCCCGAGGCUAUCCGGCCGAGGGCACGCCUGCCUGGGCGUCACGCA
rnacentral:rRNA from 1 species